CUACGGGGGGCACCAGUGGGGAAUAUUGCACAAUGGAGGAAACUCUGAUGCAGCGACGCCGCGUGGAGGAUGACACUUUUCGGAGCGUAAACUCCUUUUAUAUAGGAAGAAGAUGACGGUACUAUAUGAAUAAGCGCCCGCUAACUCCGUGCCAGCAGCCGCGGUAAUACGGAGGGCGCAAGCGUUAGUCGGAAUCACUGGGCGUAAAGAGCGUGUAGGCGGAUUAAAAAGUCAGAAGUGAAAUCCUAUAGCUUAACUAUAGAACUGCUUCUGAAACUCUUAAUCUAGAAUAUGGGAGAGGUAGAUGGAAUUUCUGGUGUAGGGGUAAAAUCCGUAGAGAUCAGAAGGAAUACCGAUUGCGAAGGCGAUCUACUAGAACAUUAUUGACGCUGAGACGCGAAAGCGUGGGGAGCAAACAGGAUUAGAUACCCCAGUAGUC
rnacentral:rRNA from 1 species